rnacentral:lncRNA from 1 species
CGGGACCUGCAGAGCCCGGGCGCCGCCGGGUGUCCCGCAGCGUCCCCGCCGUGGCCAGGGGCCUUUGGGUCGCCGUCGGCGAGCUUCGGGCGCGGCGCCCAGAGAUGCCUGCAAGACUCGGACGCCGCCUCAGCCCGGGGACGCCAGUCCAGGCCGGGAGGCGGCAGCGAGAGGAGCACGUGCUUCUGGCUAGUUCCUCGUUGGGGAUUUUCCUCCUCUCUUCUCCUUCCCGCCCCCUGCCCCGUGUUAAGGCGGUGUGUCACGCUGGUGAAUUGUGAAGUUGGUGAAGUCCAGAACAAAUCCAGCCACCGCGGGCCGCGGGUGCCCGGCUGUGUGUGGAGCAGGGCCGGGCAGUACAGCCGGCUGUCCUCCCUCGAUAGACUGUCCGGGGCUCCCGCCGCGACGCUGCUUGGUAGCCGUGUGGAUUUGGCCCCACAUGGGUGUGAAAAAGCCCUGCACGGCUGUGUGCUUGAAGGUCCAGGACCCAGACCCUGGAAGAUGCUGUCUUCUUUUGUUUGAGAACUGGAAAGAGCAGGAAUAGAGAGGAGUGUGAUGGACCCACCGCUGGCCAAGGCCAAAGCAGCCAGAGGAGGUGGUAAUGCCUUUGUGAUAUCAUACUUAAGAAGCAAAAGAGAAGUUACAGUGCAGAUGUAAUUGGGCUCAGAGAAGAGCAGAGUUAGAGUAAGAAGAGCAGCCCUGCAGACACCAAGGCUGGUGAAGGAGGGGCAGGAGGUGCUCCAGGCACCAGAGCUGAGGUUCCCCUGCAGCCGUGGUGGGACUGUGGUGAGGCAGCUGCGGCCCUGCAGCCAUGGAGGUUCCUGAGGGUGCAGAGACCCACCGGCAGACCCUGGAGGAGACCUACACUGGAGCAGAUGCAUGCCCAAAAGAAGGCUGUGACUCUGUGGGAAGUCUGCACUGUAACAGGCUCCUGGAAGGACCGGUGGAUAGAGGAGCCCAUGCAGCAGCGGGUUUGCUGGUGGGAGCUGUGACCCUGUUAGCCAUGAACACUGGAGCAGGCAGUUCUUGAAGGACUGCACCUUCAUGAGGACCUGCAGCCCAUGGCAAUGAUUCACACUGGAGAGGUUUGUGGAGAACUGUCUCCUGUGGAGGGACCCACGUGGGAGCAAUGAAAGGGCUCCGUUCCCUGAGAAGCAUCAGAAACAAUCUGUGAUGACUUGAUCAUAACCCCCAUUCUUCACCUUCCUGCACCACUGGAGAGGAGGAGGUAGAUCCUAGAAAGCAGGAAGGGGUGGGGGGGAAAGGUGUUUUUAAGAUUUAUUUUACUUCUCAUUAUUCUGCUGUGAAUUUCAAUAGUAAAAAAUUCAGUUAAUUUCUCCAAGUCAAGCCUGUUUUGCCUAUGAUAAUAAUCUGUUUGUGAUAUUUCUUGGUUCUUACCCCAUGAGCCUUUUGUUAUGUUUUCUCUCCCCUUUCCAGUUGUGGAGAGGAGUUAUAGAGUGGCACCUGUCAUCCAGCCACGGUCAAUCUGUCCCACACAAUCUCUCUAUGACUGACUUUGUUU